rnacentral:lncRNA from 1 species
UGGAAGCUCUGGGGUUGGGGUCUCUUCGUCCCUGCAGCUAUGCUUCCAGAGUGCUCUGUGCAUUUCCAUGAUCAACAAACGAUGAAUAAAUCUCUGGUGAGUCAUUUGUUUAUAUAUUCCUCACUUUGUUUUACAUUGUAUUUUUUGCCUUUAUGGAGUCCACGGAUUAAAAUGAAAAAACAGAAAUAAGUAAAAUUCAGGUUAAAGGAAAUGCACAUAAAUAAAAUAAUGCUGCCAUGUAGACAUAUGCAGGUUAUAAGCCGUGGAACUUGAGUACAAAUGUGUCUCUGGUCUUUCUGAUGCUGCAACAAAAAGGCAGUCACAUUUGUUACAUGAUUGGAAUGGAACCUGGAAGGAGUGCAUGCUGCAUUCUCAUGGGACAGGAAGACUUGCUCUCACCAAAGUCUGGAACACUGACUGCAUUGGUCAUAGAGAUGAUGUCGUGAAAAGUUUUUUUACUGCCAACCUGGAAAUAAACACUUUUAGCAUUUUGUGGUAGAAACAGUCACUUAGUGCUAAAGCAUAACUC